rnacentral:rRNA from 1 species
AACGAACGCUGGCGGCAUGCCUAACACAUGCAAGUCGAACGAGACCUUCGGGUCUAGUGGCGCACGGGUGCGUAACGCGUGGGAACCUUCCCUUAGGUUCGGAAUAACUCCCCGAAAGGGGUGCUAAUACCGGAUAAUGUCUUCGGACCAAAGAUUUAUCGCCUUUGGAUGGGCCCGCGUUGGAUUAGCUAGUUGGUAGGGUAAAAGCCUACCAAGGCGACGAUCCAUAGCUGGUCUGAGAGGAUGAUCAGCCACACUGGGACUGAGACACGGCCCAGACUCCUACGGGAGGCAGGAGUGGGGAAUAGUGGACAAUGGGCGAAAGCAUGAUCCAGCAAGGCCGGGUGAGUGAUGAAGGCCUUAGGGUUGUAAAGCUCUUUUACCCGGGAUGAUAAUGACAGUACCGGGAGAAUAAGCCCCGGCUAACUCCGUG